ACGAUCCUGAGGAGGCGACCCUGACCAGCUGGUGCUGGUAAUGGAUAGGCUCCCAUGGUGGUGUUUCUAACGUUAUUAUUUCUGGAACCAUUGAGCGGCAAGGGGGACAAGAUUCAGUGAGGGUCCACAUUUCCAGGACUCGCCACCCCUUAGGGAUGGAUCAUGAAAUGGAGAUGUCUUGGCUGAGAAGGAGCAGACUCCAUUAUACUCAUGGAUGCCCUAGAAAGGAUUCACUAGCCCACUAAUACCCAGAACUGGCUGCUGUUGCUGUUUGCAAGAACCCGAACUGUAACACCGACAUCGGAGCCCCACCACCCUUUAGCUAUGAAGAAGAGGAUGCUCUUGUGUUUCAUGGGUGCGUAGGACUAAGAUAACAUCACCCAGAGUACUCGCUGUGGUUGUUUAUUUACCUCUAAGUGGGUGUUACCUUUUUUUUCCUAUUCAAUUCUCAUUAUAAAAGUAAUAGGUUUUUUUCCCUUAGACAGACAAAGAUGUACAAUCUAGCUAAAGAAGAGAAGAAACUUCAGCCAUCAUUUUAUAAUUCAAAAAAUGAUCUCAUUUUCAUUUGGGGGCAGAUCCCUGUGUUUCUUUCCAUAAGCAUCACGGCUUUUUAAUGGAAAUGGACCAAGAACGUAUAGACUUCCGUGAUGUAAAUGGAUCAUUAUUUCCUUAACAAGACUUAUGAUGGCAAGCA